ACGAUGAACCCACUUCGGUGGGGGAUUAGUGGCGAACGGGUGAGUAACACGUGGGCAAUCUGCCCUUCACUCUGGGACAAGCCCUGGAAACGGGGUCUAAUACCGGAUACGACCACUGAGGGCAUCUUCGGUGGUGGAAAGCUCCGGCGGUGAAGGAUGAGCCCGCGGCCUAUCAGCUUGUUGGUGGGGUAAUGGCCUACCAAGGCGACGACGGGUAGCCGGCCUGAGAGGGCGACCGGCCACACUGGGACUGAGACACGGCCCAGACUCCUACGGGAGGCAGCAGUGGGGAAUAUUGCACAAUGGGCGAAAGCCUGAUGCAGCGACGCCGCGUGAGGGAUGACGGCCUUCGGGUUGUAAACCUCUUUCAGCAGGGAAGAAGCGAAAGUGACGGUACCUGCAGAAGAAGCGCCGGCUAACUACGUGCCAGCAGCCGCGGUAAUACGUAGGGCGCAAGGCUGUCCGGAAUUAUUGGGCGUAAAGAGCUCGUAGGCGGCUUGUCGCGUCGGAUGUGAAAGCCCGGGGCUUAACCCCGGUCUGCAUUCGAUACGGGCAGGCUAGAGUGUGGUAGGGGAGAUCGGAAUUCCUGGUGUAGCGGUGAAAUGCGCAGAUAUCAGGAGGAACACCGGUGGCGAAGGGGAUCUCUGGGC
rnacentral:rRNA from 1 species